UACAGAGGUCUCAAGCGUUGUUCGGAUUCAUUGGGCGUAAAGGGUGCGUAGGUGGCGCUGUAAGUCAGGUGUGAAAUUUCGGAGCUUAACUCCGAAACUGCAUUUGAUACUGCGGUGCUCGAGGACUGGAGAGGAGACUGGAAUUUACGGUGUAGCAGUGAAAUGCGUAGAGAUCGUAAGGAAGACCAGUGGCGAAGGCGGGUCUCUGGACAGUUCCUGACAGCUGAGGCACGGAAGGCCCAGGGGGAGGCAAAACGG
rnacentral:rRNA from 1 species